rnacentral:lncRNA from 1 species
CCGGCCUGGUCCUUGAGCGCCUCCACCGUGCCCACGCUCAUCGCCGCCGCCCACGACGACGCCUUCGCCUUCCCGCCGCCGCUCGCCAUCUGCCUAGUACGGUUCUGUAGUACGUGUGUCUCAGAGAGGGAGAGAGAGAGAGGAUCAGAGGAAGAGAGAGCUCGGUGCGUUUCGGUGAUGGCGUGCUUGGCUGUGCUGUCUUUCUGCCGGG